AAGCGCCCCACCUCCCUAACUGGGAGUGACUUCUCCAGUUUGUAGUACCCAGGCUGCGAGAACAUCACCCGGGGAUGGUGCCGAAACCCGGGAGGAGUGUGAGCACGAGGCCCCUACCGGCCACUGGCGGCCCGGCCCCUCCUUCCCGACCCAGGACCUCAGCCUGCUCUCCGCUGCGUGGACUAUUUUCCGGUGCAGGAACCUCUGGAUGUCUUGGGGACCUUGAGAAGAGAGGAAUUCACCCAAAUCUACAGGUACUGCAGGCAAAACCUAAUGGCAAGUCUGGCUUGGCUGUCUGGCCUCAAGAGGCCUUUAAAAAUUCAAUCUGAAAUUCCUUACAAAAAGUUCCAGCAAAGCACAUUUAAAAGAGCCUAUGUAAUCAAUUGCUCUUCUUGCUGCAUUUAUGCAAAUAAAGCCAAGUGUUAAUUAUUUUCUUAAUCUGAUUACUUCUAAUAAAAAUGAUGGUGAUUUUAGAGCAAAAUAUUCUUUCAAUAAUGCAGCCUUAUACAUACUAAAUCCUAAUACUAGUCAUUGGGACAUAAACUCGAUCCAGAAUUCUAGCUUCUUCAAAAUGUCUGGCUAUGAUGAUUUUCUAGAUGUUUUAGUUUUCUCCUAUCAUUUCAAUUAAAGUUUUACUAUUUCUAGUUCUCAUAUUCAACCAUGCAUUCUUAAUCUCAUCAAGUUUGUCUUUCCAGAAUGGAAAAUCCAACUCCAGAUAUUCUACUUAACCUAAUAACACAAUUUGUUCUAUCUUGCCUAGAAGCCACAAAACUGCAAAUAGUAAUAGAAAUAGAACCUGGAAUAGAAGCACCAAUCUUCCGAGGCCCUCUCAAAUGACCACUGAUGGAGACCUAACUGCACCCUUUACUGCGCCCUUUCUCAGCGUGAAGCAGCCAGAGAGGUCAUCGCCCCUUUCCCUAGCAGCAGCUAGGGUCUCCAUCUGUAGAGGGGGGAAUGAGACAGGGAUGGUGGGUGUAGUCAGUAGGGUGAGGUCCUCUGGGAAAAGCAGGGCGGAAUAUUUACAGUCAGAGCAAUGUAACAAUGGGCACAGAAGUCCCCAUUGAAACUCUGUUAAGCAUUAUGCAAAGUCAAGGUCACACUAAUUCUCUAGGGAAAGAUACCUAAGAAUAUAGACAUCUUCAGUAAGAUCAGCUAAAGGUCAAAAGGCCAGAAGCAACUUGGCCUGGAUUGUUUGAGUGUUCUGCAAGGGUAUCAGUAUAACCCGUGACUCUGCUGUCAGCCCUAGCAAUCAGACUGUGACCCAGCCCACCUUGAGGACAGGGCAGGUGAUGCAAGUCCACACCACUAAGUUUUUUUCAUGUUCUCAAAAAAUCCUCAACUGCCUAUAAAACCCCCUAAACAACGCACCACCACGGACUCUCUUCCCUUCCUGGCGUGAGCUGGGAGAUCUGUCCUUUCACUUUAUCUCUAAAUAAAAGCCGGUACCUUGCUCUCCUA